rnacentral:rRNA from 1 species
GACGAACGCUGGCGGCGUGCCUAAUACAUGCAAGUCGAACGAGAGCGACCGGUGCUUGCACUGGUCAAUCUAGUGGCGAACGGGUGAGUAACACGUGGGUAACCUGCCCAUCAGAGGGGGAUAACAUCCGGAAACGGAUGCUAAAACCGCAUAGGUCUUCGAGCCGCAUGGCUUGAAGAGGAAAAGAGGCGCAAGCUUCUGCUGAUGGAUGGACCCGCGGUGCAUUAGCUAGUUGGUGAGGUAACGGCUCACCAAGGCCGUGAUGCGUAGCCGACCUGAGAGGGUGAUCGGCCACAUUGGGACUGAGACACGGCCCAAACUCCUACGGGAGGCAGCAGUAGGGAAUCUUCCGCAAUGGACGCAAGUCUGACGGAGCAACGCCGCGUGAGUGAAGAAGGUUUUCGGAUCGUAAAACUCUGUUGUUAGAGAAGAACAAGUGCUAGAGUAACUGUUAGCGCCUUGACGGUAUCUAACCAGAAAGCCACGGCUAACUACGUG